rnacentral:rRNA from 1 species
AAAUAUUUUAAGGGCAAAUGGUGGAUGCCUUGGGAAGUUGAGGCGACGAAGGACGUGGCGUGACUGCGAUAAGUCUCGGGGAGGUGUUUAGCAACCUUUGAUCCGGGAAUUUCCGAAUGGGUAAACCCAUCUCGCAGAAAUGCGAGAUAUCCCGCCGUAAGGCGGGAAGCUAGACCCGCUGAAGUAAAACAUUUCAGUAAGCGGAGGAAAAUAAACUAAUAAGCAUUCCCUUAGUAGUGGCGAGCGAAAAGGGAGAAGUCUAAACCUCAUUUUUAUGGGGGGUUGCAAGGAGAUAAAUUGAUUUAUUUCAAAGAAGAAAAAAUGCGAAGGUUGGUUAAAAGAAUCUUUCUGGAAAGAAGAACCAAAGAGGGUAAUAGUCCCGUAUUUGAAAAUCACUUCGCGCUUCUCUUAUCUUUCUUAAGUACCGCGAGAAACGAAAGCCUUGCGGGAAUCAGGCUGGACUGUCCAGCCAAGACUGAAUACUCAACUUCACCGAUAGUGAACUAGUACCGUGAGGGAAAGGUGAAAAGUAGGGAGGUAAUCCCGGUGAAAUAGAACCUGAAACCAUUUGCUUACAAAGAGUAGGAGCUCCCCACAUAAUUUAUUAUGUGUGGGGUGACUGCGUGCUUUUUGCAGAACGAACCAACGAGUUUCCAUGCAUAGCUUGCCUAAAUUCUUAUGGAAUGAAGGCGUAGCGAAAGCAAGUGUUAAUAGCGCGUUCUCCGCAUUUAUGCGGAGAGGUUGUGCAUGGAAGACCCGAAGCCAGGCGAGCUUACCAUAGCCAGGUUGAAUCCCCCAGAAAUGGGGGAGGAGGACCGAACUAGUGAGUCGUGCAAUUCUCUUGGAUGAGCUGUGGUAAGAAGUGAAAAGCUAAUCGAGCUUGGUAAUAGCUGGUUCUCCCCGAAAUAGCUUUAGGACUAGCUUUUCGUUAUGCAUCGGGGGUAGAGCACUAGAUGGAGGUUCGUAGACGCAAGUCUAGAUCCUUCAACUAAACUCCGAAUACCGAUGCUUUACAACGAAGAAGUAAGACUCCGGGGGCUAAGCUCCGGGGUCGAAAGGGAAACAGCCCAGAUCUUAAUCUAAGGUCCCUAAAUUAAACUAAGUGUACUUAAGGAAGUGAUUUUCCGAUGAUAGUUAGGAGGUUAGCUUAGAAGCAGCUAUCCUUUAAAAAGUGCGUAAUAGCUUACUAGCUAAGGAAUUUCGCGCCGAAGAUUAGCGGGACUAAGUUUAAUACCGAAGAUAAGGAUACUCCGCAUUUACUGCGGGGUGUGGUAGGGGAGCGUCUCUAUCGCGCUGAAGUUCUUCCGUAAGGAAGGGUGGAGCGAUAGGGAGUGAGAAUGUUGGUAUGAGUAACCGCAAUGGGCGUGAGAGCCGCCCACACCGAAAUCCCAAGGUUUCCUUGACAAUGUCAAUCAGUCAAGGGUUAGGCGGUCCUUAGGGGAAGCCGAAAGGCGUACCUGAUGGACAGCUGGUUAAUAUUCCAGCCCUUGGACAUACAAGUCUAAAGAUUACGAAGCUUAGUAGCUUGGGCGAGUUAUUGGAUUUUCGUUGCCUGCUUAAGAAUUUUCAAGGGCCGGCAAAAUAUUUUGGUUCGCCAAGAUAAAUCCAAGUGAGCAAGCUUCCCGGAAAAGCUUUUUAGGCGUUACUGUAUGUUCAAACCGUACCGGAAACCGACACAGGUGGGAUGGCGUCAAUGUGCCAAGGUGAACGUGUGAAACCUCGUUAAGGAACUAGGCAAAAAAGUAGUCGUAACUUCGGGAUAAGACUUGCCCCGCAGCAAUGCGGGGUCGCAGCAAACGUCUCUCUGACGACUGUUUAUCAAAGACACAGGUCCCUGCUAAUUCGAAAGAAGAUGUAUAGGGGCUGAGACCUGACCAGUGCUGGAACGUUAAUCUUGCCGGUUUUUUCCGCAGCAAUGUGGGAUUAGCUGAGUGAGCUGAGCUUCCAGUGAACGUCGGCGGUAACUAUAACCGUCCAAAGGUAUUACAAAAUGCUUUUGUAAAACUUAGCUAUAUGCUGGAAAAUCUGUUGGAUUUGGAGCUACUAUGGUAUAAUUAGUAAAGGUUAACAUUAACCUUGAAUAUUAUGCUAAGUAAAAAAGCUUCCAAUGCAGACAAUCAGCAGGAAAGGCUAAAAAUGUGCGAUUGGAUUGUUGGUUUUGUAGAUGGAGAAGGAUCCUUUCUGGUGAAUAUAUUUAAGUCGCCACGAGCUAAAUCGGGGUGGCAGGUAUUUCCAGAAUUUAAUAUUUCUCAAACUCGUAAGGGAAUAGAACUUCUUUAUGCGAUUCAAAAAUUUUUUGGAUGCGGACAUAUUUAUGUUCACACCACAAGGAAUGAGAAUAAUAAAAAAUGGGAUCCAUUGUACAAAUUCUGCGUUCGUUCACAAAGUGAAAUUUUAGAAAAGAUUAUUCCCUUUUUUAUAAAAUAUCCUCCAAGAGGAAAAUUAAAAAAGAAGGAUUUAACUCUUUUUUCUAAAGUGGUUAAAUUGAUGCGAGAUGGCAAACACCUGAAAAAUGGUGGCAUCAAGAAAAUUGUGGAAAUUACGCGAGAAAUGAACCAUCGCAAGCCAUUUGAGCAAACAUUUGCAUAUAAAUUUUUAGCAUCCUCAGAGACUAUACGCUAAGAUUCGUCGAAAACGAAUAAGAUAUAGUCCGACCUGCAUGGCGACAUGCAGAAUACGGCAGAAAUGACCGUAUCUGUGUUAUCAAACACAAAGCAACAAAUGUGAGCGUAAUCCCUUGCCGGGUAAGUUCCGGCCCGCAUGAAAGGUUUAACGAUCAGAGAACUGUCUCAACGAGGAGCACGGUGAAAAUGCAAUACCGGUAAAGAUGCCGGUUACCUGCGGCUAGACAGAAAGACCCCGGGAGCUUCACUACAACCUGAUAUUGAGUCUUAAUUUUGGAUGCGUAGCGUAGAGGGUAGGCUUUGAAUCCCGCUUUUCGGAGCCGGAGGAGCCGCCAAUGAAACACCCUUCUUUUAAAAUCUUGAUUCUAACUUCCGUUAUAAGCGGGAAGACAGUGUUUGGUGGGUAGUUUAAGUGGGGCACUUGCCUCCUAAAAAGUAAUGGAGGCGUUUAAAGGUCGGCUAGAUCCGGAUGGACAUCGGAUCGUUUGGGUAAAGCCAUAAGCCGGCUCUACUGCAAGACAGGUAUGUCGCGCAGUUGGGAAACCAGAACUUAGUGAACCGACCCUAGUUAGCAGAACUGGGGAAGAUUAUCAAACAAAAGCUACCCCGGGGAUAACAGGCUGGUAGAGCCCGCGAGUUCACAUCAACGGCUCUGUUCGGCACCUCGAUGUCGGCUCAUCUUAUCCUGGGACUGGAGCAGGCCCCAAGGGUUUGGCUGUUCGCCAAUUAAAAAGAUACGUGAGCUGGGUUCAAACCGUCGCGAGACAGGUUGGUCCAUAUCUACCGUAGGCGUCGAGUCUUGAGGAGGGUUGGUCCUUGUACGAGAGGAUCGGACUGAACUAACCUCUGGUUUAUCAGUUGUUCCGCCAGGAGCAUUGCUGAGUAGCUAAGUUAGGAACUGAUAAGCGCUGAAAGCAUCUAAGCGCGAAGCAGGCUCCAAGAUUAGGACUCAUAGAUCCCUCAGAGACUAUGAGGUUGAUAGGCUGCAAGUGUAAGCCCCGUAAGGGGUUCAGCUGAGCAGUACUAAUAGAUCA